rnacentral:rRNA from 1 species
AAACUUUCAACAACGGAUCUCUUGGUUCUGGAAUCGAUGAAGAACGCAGCAA